rnacentral:rRNA from 1 species
CCUACGUGAGGCAGCAGUGAGGAAUAUUGGUCAAUGGACGAGAGUCUGAACCAGCCAAGUAGCGUGAAGGAUGACUGCCCUAUGGGUUGUAAACUUCUUUUAUAAAGGAAUAAAACGAGGCACGUGUGCCUUUUUGCAUGUACUUUAUGAAUAAGGAUCGGCUAACUCCGUGCCAGCAGCCGCGGUAAUACGGAGGAUCCGAGCGUUAUCCGGAUUUAUUGGGUUUAAAGGGUGCGUAGAUGGGUUGUUAAGUCAGUUGUGAAAGUUUGCAGCUUAACCGUAAAAUUGCAAUUGAUACUGGCAGUCUUGAGUACAGAUGAGGUAGGCGGAAUUCGUGGUGUAGCGGUGAAAUGCUUAGAGAUCACGAAGAACCCCGAUUGCGAAGGCAGCUUACUAAUCUGUGACUGACAUUGAGGCUCGAAAGUGUGGGGAUCAAACAGGAGUAGAUACCCCAGUAGUC